UUCAGCAAGUCUAAUUGAAUA
rnacentral:piRNA from 1 species